rnacentral:rRNA from 1 species
AUUGAACGCUGGCGGCAGGCCUAACACAUGCAAGUCGAACGAGUGGCGGACUGGUGAGUAACACGUGGGAACCUACCCAUCAGAGGGGGAUAACACUUGGAAACAUGUGCUAAUACCGCAUACUGAUGGAUGGACCGACGGUGCAUUAGCUCGUUGGUGAGGUAACGGCUCACCAAGGCACCGAUGCAUAGCCGACCAGAGAGGAUGACCAGCCACACUGGAACUGAGACACGGUCCAGACUCCUACGGGAGGCAGCAGUGGGGAAUAUUGCACAAUGGGCGCAAGUCUGAUGGAGCCAUGCCGCGUGUAUGAAGAAGGCCUUCGGGUUGUAAAGUACUUUCAGCGGGGAGGCGGUACCCGCAGAAGAAGCACCGGCUAACUCCGUGCCAGCAGCCGCGGUAAUUC